AUUGAACGCUGGCGGCAUGCUUUACACAUGCAAGUCGAACGGUAACAGGCCUUCGUGUGCUGACGAGUGGCGAACGGGUGAGUAAUGCAUCGGAACGUACCCAGAGGUGGGGGAUAACGCAGCGAAAGCUGUGCUAAUACCGCAUGUGAUCUGAGGAUGAAAGCGGGGGACCGAGCAGCAAUGUUUGGCCUCGCGCCUUUGGAGCGGCCGAUGUCGGAUUAGCUAGUUGGUGGGGUAAAGGCCUACCAAGGCGACGAUCCGUAGCUGGUCUGAGAGGACGACCAGCCACACUGGGACUGAGACACGGCCCAGACUCCUACGGGAGGCAGCAGUGGGGAAUUUUGGACAAUGGGCGCAAGCCUGAUCCAGCAAUGCCGCGUGCGGGAAGAAGGCCUUCGGGUUGUAAACCGCUUUUGGCAGGAACGAAACGGUGGCCGCUAAUACCGGGCGCUAAUGACGGUACCUGCAGAAUAAGCACCGGCUAACUACGUG
rnacentral:rRNA from 1 species